rnacentral:rRNA from 1 species
AUGUGCUUUAUAAGGCGAUUCUUGGAGGAUCUGGACAUUGCCACUGUUCGUACCUCGCGAGGUAAUCCUCCUCUGUCUAGGGUGCCUAGAGUGAAGGUGUGGCUCCCACCUGGAGAAAAUGAAGCCAAACUAAACUGUGACAGUGGAAUCUCAUCCCUGGGGGAGAAAGGAGUAGCGGCUGCGGUGUGCCGUGAUAGUACAGGCAUGUACUUAGGAGAUUCUGCUGUGGUUUUUGAUGGCCUGAUCGAUCCAGCAAGUUUGGAGGCGCAUGCAUGCAGUGAAGCUCUAGUGCUUGCUCGGGAUUUGAAUCUUCAUAAUCUGGUGAUAGCCUCGGACUGUCUUGAGGUGAUCUCGAACAUCAACAACACUGUAACACCGGUUUAUGCUCCGAUCCUAAAGGAAAUUCUUGUGAGUAGGAAUAGCUUUCAUUCUGUCUCUUUCCGUUUUGAACGUAGAGAAAAUAAUUUUGAGGCCCAUUCGAUAGCUAAAGGAGCUGCGUCUUUUUCGGUGGGUCGCCACGUGUGGCUAGGGAAUUUACCCGACAUUGCUUGUAUCCCGGAUGUCUUGAGCUUUGAAUAA